rnacentral:tRNA from 2 species
GGAGAGGUGGCAGAGUGGUCGAAUGCGCCGCACUCGAAAUGCGGUAUACGGGUAACCGUAUCGAGGGUUCGAAUCCCUCCCUCUCCGCCA